rnacentral:lncRNA from 1 species
UGGGAAGCUGUGCAAACAAAUUUUGUAGAAAGUGUAAAGCAACAUCUGAUAAUGGAACAGAAAUUCAAGAAAUACGAAGUGAUGAAUACGUUCAAGAGAAGAUCCAUGAAAUACAAGAUUGUCCAACUGAAAACCAGAAAAAAAUUAAAAGAAGUGAAUGCGGAGUAACAGAACAAGGCGGAGCGUUCGACAAGCUGAAGUGCUUUCGUGGAAAUAACAAAACUCCUAUUGAAAUACUGCAUACAAUUCUACUUGGGCCUGUUAAGUAUAUGCUAUCCAACACAAUUC